rnacentral:rRNA from 1 species
CCUGCGGAAGGAUCAUUAUUGAAUUCAAAUGCAGACGCUGAGCUAUCUCGUCAAGAGCAUGUGCCCGCCGACGCAUAUAUUCAACCACCUGUGAACCUCUUGUAGAUCUGAGAAUAUUUCUCAAGGGAACUUGGACGUAGAGCUUGCUGGCUUCAUCAGAGGUCGACUGCUCUUGCUUCUCAGAUCUAUGUUUUUCAUAUACCCCGUAAUAUGUUAUAGAAUGUAUUGAACGGCUUGUAUGAGCCUUUAACCUUAUACAACUUUCAACAACGGAUCUCUUGGCUCUCGCAUCGAUGAAGAACGCAGCGAAAUGCGAUAAGUAAUGUGAAUUGCAGAAUUCAGUGAAUCAUCGAAUCUUUGAACGCACCUUGCACCCUUUGGUAUUCCGAAGGGUAUGCCUGUUUGAGUGUCAUUAAAUUCUCAACCUCUAUCAGCUUGCUGGUAAAGGCUUGGAUAUGGAGGAAUAUAUGCGGGCUUUUUCAAGUCGGCUCCUCUCAAAUGCAUUAGCAGAAUCAUUGUGCUAGCUUAGGUGUGAUAAUUAUCUACGCCUUGAUGCCUGCAUGUCUACGAUUCGGCUUCUAAUCGUCCGAAAGGACAGCAUAUACUUAUGACAUUGACCUCAAAUCA